AACGAACGCUGGCGGCAUGCCUAACACAUGCAAGUCGAACGAGACCUCCGUGCUUAGUGGCGCACGGGUGCGUAACGCGGGGGAAGCUGCACUUAGGUACCGAAUACCUCCCCGUAAGGGGUGCUAAUACCGGAUAAUGUAUUCGGACCAAAGAUUUAUCGCCUUUGGAUGGGCCCGCGUUGGUUUAGCCGGUUGGUAGGGUAAAAGCCUAGCAAGGCGAGGUUCCAUAGCUGGUCUGAGAGCAAGAUCAGCCACGCUGGGACUGAGACACGGCCGAGAAUCCUAGGCAAGGGAGGAGAGGGGAAUAUUGGACAAGGGGGGGAGGCCUGAUCAAGCCACGCCGGGUAAGUGAUGAAGGCCGUAGGGAAGUGAAGCUGUUUUACACGGGAUGAUAAUGACGGUACCGGGAGAAUAAGCUCCGGCUAACUCCGUG
rnacentral:rRNA from 1 species